UACUGCUACUAGCUCCUUGGGAAGAGUUCUUUUUAGCUACUGCAAAAGAUUUACCUAUUGGGAAAGCUCCGGUCCCUUCAGUUGAUCCUGACACUAAGAAAAAGGUGGAAAGGGCUCUAUCCAAUGUGGAGAUGAAAAAUAAAGAAGCAGCAUAUCAGGCAUGGCUUGGUUACUACAACUCUAACAAGAAAGUGGGGAAAGAUAAGUAUAGGUUAGUGGAGCUUGCAAAUGAGUUCAGUCGAUGCAUGGGGCUUGAUAGCCCUCCAGCUAUUCCUAAGCUUGUCCUUGGCAAGAUGGGUCUUAAAAAUAUCCCUGGUUUACGUUCCAAAUAGGUUUCCAUUCAAUUUCUGAUAACAGUCUUGUGAAAGAGAGAAAUGUUCUUGAAUUGAAAUGCCCCCACUUAUAGUUUGAUUUUAAGACUUGAAACUUCUAAAUUUCAACUAUCAUAGUAAUUUUUUCUGUAUAUUUUGUACUUCUAGAUGAAUUAUCAUUUAACAA